rnacentral:rRNA from 1 species
GACUGAAGAAGGUUUUCGGAUCGUAAAACUCUGUUGUUAGAGAAGAACAAGGAUGAGAGUAACUGUUCAUCCCUUGACGGUAUCUAACCAGAAAGCCACGGCUAACUACGUGCCAGCAGCCGCGGUAAUACGUAGGUGGCAAGCGUUGUCCGGAUUUAUUGGGCGUAAAGCGAUGCGCAGGCGGUUUCUUAAGUCUGAUGUGAAAGCCCCCGGCUCAACCGGGGAGGGUCAUUGGAAACUGGGAGACUUGAGUGCAGAAGAGGAGAGUGGAAUUCCAUGUGUAGCGGUGAAAUGCGUAGAUAUAUGGAGGAACACCAGUGGCGAAGGCGGCUCUCUGGUCUGUAACUGACGCUGAGGCUCGAAAGCGUGGGGAGCAAACAGGAUUAGAUACCCUGGUAGUCCACGCCGUAAACGAUGAGUGCUAAGUGUUGGAGGGUUUCCGCCCUUCAGUGCUGCAGCUAACGCAUUAAGCACUCCGCCUGGGGAGUACGACCGCAAGGUUGAAACUCAAAGGAAUUGACGGGGGCCCGCACAAGCGG